AAAUAUCAACUUUCCUCUAAAUUAUUAGACGAAAUUGUUUUUUUUUUUUUUUUUUAACUAAUUUUAGACGAAAUUGUUUACAAAAUCAAAAUAUGAAAUAACAGACGUAAGAAGAUUUGUGGAUCAUAUUGCGGUGUAACAACAGAUGCAUUAAUGAUUUAAAAAAAUACAAAGAGGAACCGGUAGAAUAGAAGAAGGGACGAGAUGGUUGACAAAAAAAAAAGAAGGGACGAGAUGACAUGUGUUAAAAGCUUACGUUAGUGUAAAAGACACGAAUCAGAGGCACGGAUGCGAACACCCUCUUUAGAAAAAGACAUGCUACAAAACAACCGCUGUUGGUAAAAAAUAAACGGUUUAAAACAAAGUGUGAAUUGUGACAUGUAUACUGAAUAGUAUAACUGCGAAAUACAGAUAAUAUAUUUAUAUUUUACAAACUAAAAAAUCAGUGGUACUAAUACAUUUUUUAAAAUAUAAAUCUUAUUUUAAAAAAAUAUAUUAUAUAUCUGAAACUAGGUUAUAAUUCACACAUUGCACAUAAUUUGGAUAAGAAAACGUUAAGUCUAUUUAAUUUGGAUAUCGGUUCGUUUUUAGGUUGUUUUUUUCUUAAAUUUACUAAAAUAUAACUAUCAUUCUAAAUCCAUAUUUAUUUUGUUUUGUGUGGUUAAGCCUUCUCGGGCUUUUUUUUUGUUUUCGGUGAGAGUGUCUCGUAGAGACUGUUUGACAAUGUGAGAGUCUAGUAAAAACCAAUAUCUUUUGUGUAUCAAAACCUUUCACAAUGAUAACUCUUUCUUUACCACAAUAUAACCGAUAUCAAGUGGACAAAGACCGCCUUGACAGUAGAUUACGAUAUGACAGUAACUCUUUCUCAACUUCGCUACUCAUCAACUUGUUGCUUAUGAAAUUCUCAGCUUUUUUCCCAAACAGUGAAGAGGAGAAAUCCGUCAGAUAUAUGAGAACCGAGUAGAGCCCUUUAUAGGAGUCAUAAAGAAAUAUUAAGUCUCGCUUGCUUUAGAGGUGUUCUUCUAUUUUUCAUUAGUCUCUCGCAACAGUUUCUUAAUCCCAUCAAAUUAAGUUUUUUUAGUUGAAUGAAUUCACGCAACCCCCGUGUUUUGAGUAUUAGCAAUGACGUAGUUUGAUUUUUUUUCUUGACAAUACACAAAAAAACUUCGAUACGCCAGUGUAUUGGCUUUGCAUCAACUUCUCCUAUUAGCAAUGUCAUUGUGUGAUUUAUUCACUAUAGACAGUAGUUUAAGCAGGAGUUUCUGCUCUGCUUUUCACCUUCAACUUUAAUUUUUUUCUUGAUAGUUGACAAACCACUUUUAUGCGCCAAUGAUAGAUUUAUCAAUUUUUCUUUGCAUCAACUUCUUCUAUUAGCAAUGACUUUACAUCAACUAAAUCGUUUAUGAACAUUUAUGCUUCUCAAAACUUGGUUAGUAUAGCCACAAUUAGCUUCGCAUCACGCCCAUUGGUAUGAGCUAAAUCAUAUAACGUGGUUGUGUUUAGUCUAAGCAAAAUAUGAAACUUUUACUGGAUAUUUUAUGAGAAGCUCUAUUAAGCCGACACGUCAGCGUCCGUAUUUUCAAAGUAAUGUGAGGCUGCCAUGUGUCAAAGUUAGCGUGAAAGUAUUAAAUGACAAUGUUUUUCUUUUAAUAUAUAGGGAAUAUGAAAUUUAAUAUGUUAUUACUGAUAUUUAUACCCAAUUACUUUAUUUAAAAAUUAUAACUGUUCUAGUUGUUUUCAAACAAAAUUGAAUUCAAAUAUCUGAAAAUAUUUUAUUAUAAUUUAUAAAAAUUUAUCUAUGUUGUAAAUAUGAUACGAAAGAGGAGGUUCUAUUAUUGAGAUUUAUAUCAUCGACAUUCAAUUUUUUUUUGAAAUAAUUGACCCAAAAAAAUCUUAAAAGCUUUGAACAGUAAAAGUAAACACACUAUUUUUGCUUCUUUAGCUUUUAAGUGCGUUUUAUAUAAGAACAAUACAUUUUUCUGGGGGAAUUUUUAUGUUUACCAAUUUGAUGAUACUAAUGUUUACCAUCACUAAAGAGAUAUUUUCAAAAAUACUUUCUUUAUUAUGAGGCAAAAGACUCUUAUACACACAUACUCUAUAUAUAUAAUAAGUAAUUAUUUAAAUAAAUUAAAAAUUUAAAAAUUUUAAAAAAUAAAUAAAUGGUGUUCAAAAAAAAGUCAGCAACAUAUGAAGAAAAAGACAACAACGAAAAAAUUAAGAGAAAUUGCCACAAAUAUCACAUUCGUACUAUCACUUUUCAUGUUUACACUAACCACUUUUUCCUUUACAUUUAAUUAAAUUAAAAAACAUUUAUACCUCUAGGGUUAACUAAUCUAGACUUAAAGUUUAGAACUGAGGAGUGGGGUAGAUUUUUUGGAAUGUGAAAUUUAGGAUUCUAAUAAAUAUACAAAUAAAUACUUAGAAAAAUGUUAAAAUAUUUUAAAAAAUAGUUUCAAACAUAAAUUUUGAUUUUAAAAAAAUGGAAAACAAAUUAAGAAAAAUCAAAUUUAUAAAAAAUCGAAUUUGAAAAAGUAUAAUUCGAAAACAUAAAAAUUAUUAUUAUUUUAUUAUUUUUUAUUUAUUUAAAUAAUUAUUUAUUAUAUAUAUAUAGUGAACACUGAUAUAAAAUGAAAAAAAUAUUUUUAAAAAUAUCCAUUUAGUGGCGGUAAAAAUGAAUAAUAGUACCAUAAAAGUGGUAAACAUAAAAUUUUCUCAAAAAUCAAUUUGAGAGAAGAAAAUGUCCUAUUACAUGGAUCAACAACCUAUGUAACAAUUGGAAUACAUAAUGUCAAUAAAACGACAAGUAGUUAAGUUGGAAACAGUAUAGUUCAACUGUUGUAAGACUCUCGACUCUAUAUAGAGAGAGUGUAUCUCACCCCUUCUCUCUUACUAGAUUCCAAUUUUUCAGAGGGAGGAUGAUCUUUGUAUUGUAAAAUAAGUUUCGAUCGAGAGAUCGACUUUUUUUUUUGUUUUGGCUUUGGCGAUUUUUGAGACAUGCUCAGUUCUUGAUUCGGAGGUGGUAUCAAGCUUCGCUUACUGUCUCGAAGUCUCCACGGUGAACAAGACCUGAGAUUUGGAUCGUGCUUUGGCGAUUCAGGUCAGAAUCCAGACGAUUCGGAGCUGCCAUAAGGGUUAGUGUUCCGACAAGAUUCUUCUCUUGUUUCUGCUGAAGCUUUUUCUAGAUCUCAAUUUCUGACAAUUGGAGAAGACAAUCUUGAGAUUAACGGCGAUCAAAGGUAUGAAGAACAUGCAAAUAGUCUCAAACGAAAACGGGAUGGAGAUCGAUGGAUUCUGGCGAGACAGUUCCGGCACCGCCUUCUCUUCUCUCGGUUAAAGAAACGAAACCAUGUGUGGACCGCGUGUCACUACGAGCUUCAUUGUUAUCUUUUAAGGUUCUGGGCUUUGUUUUUUGGGCUAAAAUUUUUAUUAUGAGUCUGCUUGUAAAACUACCUAUUAGAGCAUUUUUAAUGGGGGGGGGGGGGUUUUACCCAAAUUCUCAGAAUAAAAUAAAUGCAAUAAAUAAGAAAAUUAAGAUAGAGAAGGUGAAACUAAAGAAAAAGACAAGAAAUGUACCGUUGUGAUUGCAGAAAGGUUUCUACACUUGUCAUAUAAUGAAUGGCUGAAUUAUAUUUUUA